UUGUUUAUUAUACUUUAAAACAUGAAAGUGUUAGACGAUCUUAUCUUAUACACGAUCAUCUUGUCUUAGUACAUUAUUCCUAUCUUAACAUACUUCAAAAUAUCAAUCAAAUCUCUUACAAGUUUUCAUAAAUUUUACUUUUAAAUUCAUUUUCUAUCACCCAAAAUUCCUUAAAAAUUAAUACAGUUUAUUCUCAAAUUCACCCACUCG
rnacentral:lncRNA from 1 species